GACGAACGCUGGCGGCGUGCUUAACACAUGCAAGUCGAGCGGUAAGGCCCUUUCGGGGGUACACGAGCGGCGAACGGGUGAGUAACACGUGGGUGACCUGCCCUCAGCUCUGGGAUAAGCCUGGGAAACCGGGUCUAAUACUGGAUAUGACUCCAUGACGCAUGUUGUGGGGUGGAAAGCCUUGUGCGGCUGAGGAUGGGCCCGCGGCCUAUCAGCUUGUUGGUGGGGUGANGGCCUACCAAGGCGACGACGGGUAGCCGGCCUGAGAGGGCGACCGGCCACACUGGGACUGAGACACGGCCCAGACUCCUACGGGAGGCAGCAGCGGGGAAUCUUGCGCAAUGGGCGAAAGCCUGACGCAGCGACGCCGCGUGAGGGAUGACGGCCUGGUGUAAC
rnacentral:rRNA from 1 species